UACAUUCGCUAGUGUGAGUGCUGGAGCGUAUGGGGAUGUUAUUGAAGAAUGCGGGUCUCAUACAACGGUACGGACUUUAUACUCUCUCCUUUCACAAACGUUGAAGAAAGGAAUUAAUAGGACAUCAGCAGCAAAAAUAAUCGUGUGUUACACACUUUUGGAAUGGAUAUAUAUUAUCUCUGUCUCGUCAUUAUAAACUAAUCCGACGUGCUUAUCCUCAAUAUGCAAGCGAUGGUACAAAAUUAACAGCACGAUUCACGAUAUGUAUCACAUCAAAAAUUCUUAACACUAUUUUCACUUGAGAAAAUAUUGUGUAGAAUACCGUGGACGUUCCCACGCAUUCCCUUGAAAUAAAUCGAAUGGGUGUGUUUUUCGAGCAGUGGAAUCACCACGGGCGGUCAUGCUUUAACUUUACAGUCAAAAGCCACCACUUCUGACACUUUGGUUGCUGGACAUUUUAAAUGUAACUCCUCCUCCCGUUCCCACACUGACCUUUCUGGCCUGGGCUUCCUCCACUGUCAGAGUGACGCCCCGCGCAAAUUGGAGGAACAGCACCUCAUAUUUAGCUUGGGCAGCUUAUACCCAAGCGGCAUGAACAUUAACUUCUCUAACGUCAAAUAACCCUUGCUUUUCCUCUCUCUCCACGUCCCUCCUCUACCAGUUCUCCGUCCCAUCUGCCUAACUCCGACUAUAUUUCAUCUUUGUUGUUAACCUCGCAGCUAACAUUUAUCUAUUCCACAUUUUCAUUAAUCUCCAUUCCCUUUGCCCCGUUUUCAAACCUUCACGCUUCCUUAUCUUUGUAUCUCCCUCCCCCCUGACGUCAGUCUGAAGAAGAGUCACGACCCGAAACGUCAGCCUUUCCUUCUCUCCAGAGAUGUUCCCUGUCCCGCUGAGUUACUCCAACAUUUUAUGUCUAUCUUCUGACACGCCAAUAGCCUUUCGGUCCUGCACACCAGAAUUAUCAUUCCAAUGCACUCGUGACCACAAUGAAAUUCCACACUGACAACUCGUGGACACACACCUGGUACUCAGUAUUAAAUAAUCCAUUUAUCGCGUAAUGCUUACGUUUGCUGUGAUUUGUGGAGCAAAAACAAAUUUCAUUAACUUCCAGAACUGGAGAAAUCAGAAAAACUUCGUUCGGAUAUUGAGAAAGUUCUGCAGGCAAAAGAUGAAGAACUGGAAAAAUCAGAAAAAGUUCGUUCGGAUAUUGCGAAAGUCCUGCAUUCAAAACAUGAAGAACUGGAGAACUCAGAAAAGUUUCGUUCGGAU